AUUGAACGCUGGCGGCAGGCCUAACACAUGCAAGUCGAGCGAGCGGCGGACGGGUGAGUAAUGUAUGGGGACUUCCCGAUAGAGGGGGAUAAAUACUGGAAACGGUGGCUAAUACCGCAUACUAUCGGAUAACCCAUAUGGGAUUAGCUAGUAGGUGGGGUAAAGGCUCACCUAGGCGACGAUCUCUAGCUGGUCCGAGAGGAUGAUCAGCCACACUGGGACUGAGAAAGGGCCCAGACUCCACCGGAGGCAGCAGUGGGGAAUAUUGCAAAAGGGGUGCAAGCCUGAUGCAGCCAGCCGGCGUGUAUGAAGAAGGCCUUAGGGUUGUAAAGUACGUUCAGCGGGGAGGCGUUACCCGCAGAAGAAGCACCGACUAACUCCGUGCCAGCAGCCGCGGUAAUAC
rnacentral:rRNA from 1 species